rnacentral:lncRNA from 1 species
AAGCCCCACUGAAGAUGGUGAAAGUGAAGAGGCAGAAGGGAGAUGACCACCAUUCAAAGAUGCAAUGAGAAAUGCAGAAGGACCAGGGGGACAGCAGGAGCUUCAGCUGAGCCACAGGGAGCAGGAGUUGGAGAAGAGAUGCUGAACUGGAAUUGGGCAUCCAGUGACAGAUGCAGGUGCAGGGGUAGAUCCAGAGGAGUCCAGUGGUGCAGUCAUGGCCCCAUGUUCAGACCACACUGCAGGAGAAGAAGCUGGGGACCUUUUUUUAAGUCCCUGAGUCAGAUGGAAGUGCCUCAUCUGCUGGGAUUUCCUGCCCUCCAGCGGGAUCUGCUUUGUUGACAUCAGUGAUCAUUUCAGCACUGUGGACAGAGGAAAGAUGGUUUCUACAGCUGCAUGCCUGUAUCAGAGCACAUUGUGUGGCAGCAUCGAUUUUUUCUGCUCCUACAGUAAAGGUCUCUGUUUGCGACCAGGCAUCAUGUCUCUCGUUGUGAUUAAAAGCCUCCUUCUUAAGUACUAUGUGUGAUGAGCUGUACUGAGGUAGAGCAGCUGGCCCUUUAUUGUCCUCCUGUGUAGCUUGUAAAAUAGCCUCUUCCUGUUGAGGAAUUCUGGCUGCUUUGACAGCCAAACUAUUGCCUGGAAGGAAAGGCAUGCUGUCUGUAUGAGAGCUGCACUCUGGGCCUUUGCUUGUUGAAGCAGCACUUGGAUUGGCUUUGUUUCUGUGAAAAGAGUUCUCAUAAAGACAUUUCUUCUUUUCAGCUCGUUCCUCCUCUUCUGACUGUUGAAGCAGAUUAGUGAUACUUACAGGUGCCCAUAAGUCCAGUAACUCCAUAAUGGAACAAGAGAUAAGCAACAUGAAAAGUCCAAACCUGCCCCCUUUUUAUUCAAGAACAGUUAAAAACACUGGGGCCAAAUUCUGCUUACUUACCAGCAAAUAAUGUAAUGCAUGGCAUAGCACCAAGCUGAUAGUACCAGCAUUCCUUAUGGUCCAAUAUUCCUAUAAAGCUUUAAAAUGACAAUUUUUUUUCUGCUGCUCACACAUGCAAAGUUUUUAGACAAGUCAAAUAAUAAAACAAGAUUAGGCAGCA